GUCCUGGUCUUUUACUUUUCUCUUUAGGACUCUGGGUCAGCAGAGAUUCAUGUUUAGCCAAGUUCUUGCCUUCGCCCUGCUGCCCAGAUUUCUGGUUCCAGAGCUAGACCUUCCGUGAGCCUGUUUAUGUGUUCCACCGUCACACCUGUUUAUUCUCAAAGAGUGUUUUACAGGUAAAUUGGAGCCACAACAAAGACAAGAACUGGAUAAAGGAAAGGACUAUGAUAGACACCAGUGAGCUCUGAAGCAGCAGCCAGCCUUUCUGCACAUUUCUGUCAGCACUGCAUUCUAUUCUUGGCCAACACAUCAUUCCAUUCAUAACUGAUCUCUACUUACAACAGCACACGCUAACGGAAUGCCAGAACCAGAGGGGAGAGCUAAGUCAGGGAGAAACCCUGUGUGCGCAGAACCCAGGGAGCAACGGAAGAGGCCUAGUGGGACCGGAUGUGUGUGCCGCUCUGCUGAGAGUGACUUCAGUCCUGGGUCCAGGCUCUUAGCACUGUCCCCUCCCAACUCACUCUUGGGACGUGAAGGGGCCACUGUGGGAAGGAACUCUCAUAUCAGAAAGUUGAAACAGAAGACUCUGGAGCUGCUGGGGCUCCUCAGCCAGCCACAGUUUGACAACACAAUGGGAAAAUGUCCAGAAAUAGUAGGCUCUCUGACUCUCCGUGUGAAUGUUACACAGGUACUAAACGUACCGCCGAGGACCAUACCAGGAUGACUUGCUCAGCACGACUAAGAUAUCCCUGGGAAGUUUCUCUACCACAGAUAAGCCUCAUGAGACACAGCAGUGGCAACAGUCCUUUGCUUCCUCAAACCUGGGUGUGUUGCCAAAUUCUUAAAAACUGGCUCGGUGAGCCACUGCUAUCACAUGCAAAUGCCAUUCUGUCAGUCUGUCUGUCUAUGUCUCUCUCUUUACGUGUGUGUGUGGGGGGGGGGGGGGUAGAAAGUCGUUUUUUUAGAAUUGAAUGGUCUCCGAGAGAGGUUAUAUGGUAAACCACACGUCUCAACAAAUUUCUAAAAAUUGAAAUCAUAGCAAGAAUCGGUUUCAACCUCAACGAGGAAACAUUGGAAGUCAACAUCGCGAGCUCUGUGCGGCAGCGCGGAGUGGCAUGUGUUUGGAGGAGGUUCUGCAUCGUCUCCUCUUUCAAGGGCACUGCCAUUAGGAUUGGGAAGCCCCUUUGAAGGAUUCUCAUCGCUUCUCUAUAAGACUGAUGACUUGAAGCCCCACCUCACCCCAGCCCCACCCUCAAGUUUCCCUUCUGCUCAGACUCCACCCCCAGGACAAAUGCCCCUGGGAGAUUUCAGAAUUCCUUCUCCAUCCCCACUGUGCAUCUCUCCAGUGGAUAACAUCUGUCCACCAAGUUCGUAAAGCAAAUCCUGUCUUAAGGAGCUGAAUUAGUUCUAACUCAAUGUUCAGUUAAACAUUUCUGGGAUGUGUGACCUCAGCUUCAGUUAGUUAAUGCUUAGUCUCUAAGCUUUGAACUGGUGAAGCCAAAAGAAGAAAUGGAAACCCCAAUCCAAGGAAUAUUCCAGAUUAAAAGAGAUGCAGAAAUUUAGUAUAUGCUAAAUGUGGUAUCAAAAUCAUUUAAGAAGAGCUAUACUAUUCCCAUGAAUGAUAUUAGAACAAUAAGAAGGAGUAUCUGCCCUGUCCUGGACUGUGAUAGGAGACUAAUAGGGUCAAGCACCACUUAGCUGCUGUAUGACCAAGUGAGAGCUCUUUCUUGCCUCUUCUGUAAAUGAGAAUGAAAGAGGCUAUAUUAGUGUAGAGACAGGAGGAUUAAUGGAUUGAGAUUAAGAGACAGUUCACAUAGUAAAUCCAGUGAGUCUUAUCAUUAUUGCUACUCCUUCCAGCAAAAGACAUUCCAGAUAGAAACCAACAAAAGCGGCUCAAUAAAACAUGUCUGGGUAUUUUUGUUUUGUUUUCUUUUGUUUUUUGUUUGUUUGGGGUUUUUUGUUGUUGGUUUUUGUUUUUUGGUUUUUUUUUUUUUGUAAUCUCGCAGCCAUCAUACAAAACCAAAAAUCAGUAAAGCAGUAAAGAUAAAGGUUGCUUUCCUGACCCCCCCCCACACACACAUUUUUAAGAUUUAAUAUUAACUAGAAAUGUACAAUAAAGAGUUAUGGUUCCCAAUAUGCAGAAAUCUGCUAAAAAUAAGAUUAAAGGGCAAACAGCUAUAGAAAACAGGAAAAUGUAAUUCAAGAAAAGAAGAAAAAGCACAUACUAAAAAAAAAAGAAAUUAAGAAAGAUUAGUGGGAAUUAAUAAAAGUCAACUUAAAAUAGAUAUGUGGUGCAUGCCUGUUAUGCUAGCACUUUGGGGGCAGAGGCAGGAGGAUUACAGCAAGUUUGAGGCCAGCCUGAUCUUCAUAACAAGCUCUAGGAGAGCCCACAGCUAUGCAGUGAGGCCUUGUCUCAAAACAGUUACAAUAAACAAGGAAAGCCAUAAUUGUACACACAAAUGUCUGGGCAACAACAGAGAUAGCAAUGCUCUUGAGAUCACCAAUGCUGUUCACCAGUAAGUGUUCAAGACACACACAUCAUACUGCUCAUUGAGAAUCAAGGAGGGUAACCUCGCAUAUUGACCCCAUUAGCUUACAGUGUGCAUUGACUUGAUCCAGAACCAAUUAUGGCUAUAUUGUUAGGAUUUUACCCUACAGAUAAAGCAAAUAUAUCAUAUGACCAUUCAGAGGAACCAGAAAUGUUAAAUACCAGGCAUCCCACAAGGGGAAUCUCCACGGUGUUAGAGGAGGUUAAAGUAGACAUAUGUAUUGACAUAAAGGAGUCUUCCAAGAUACUUAGUGGACAAGCAAGCUUCAGAGCAGCAUUUGCACUGGAGCCUCUCUGCAGGAAAAGCACAGCACUGGGCUGCAGGGUUGCUCAGAGCUCCGUCCUACAGAGCCUGACAAUUGGGCAUCGUGACUGACUGUAUCCACUGAUGAGUGACGAAGCUAAGCCUCCUGCAAUGGACUCCUCCGAGAAGCAGCUUCAACAGGUCUGUCCCUAUUCUAGCUAAAGCAUAGCACCCUGUCUGGAAGCAGUCCUCCACACAGGUCCUCUUCACUAUCUGUGCGGGUGUGCAUUCCUGCAUGCGUGUGUAUUAAAUAAUGUAAUAAAUGUACUCAUUUAACAGGGUGUAACUGUUGGGGUUUGAAUCGGUUUUUAAUGAAGUUUAGUUGCACAUAUAUUUGCUUGCUUGCUUGCUUGCUUUCUUUCUUUCUUUCUUUCUUUCUUUCUUUCUUUCUUUCUUUCUUUCUUUCAUCGCUAUUGUUCUCUAUUUUUCUUUGCAUAUCCCCUUCCCCUUAUUAGCUGUUCUUUCCUCUCAGCAUGGUCUCUUUGCUUGCUUUUAGAACUGUUAAACUGAUACUUCACACCCCAGUUUCUUCUUUAUAGGUUUCUUUUCAUUGUGCUCUGAAAGGGUUUUUGCUUUCUUUGAUCUACAUUUUUCUCUGGACGCAUGACCUUUAUUCUAGUUAAUCCUCCUUUGCGAGCUUUUGUUAGUAAUUACUCUGUUUACUUUUUGAGAAUUUCAAUUAAAAAGUUACAUUUGCACCAUAUAUGCCAGGAGAAUUGACUAGCUGACUUUGUUUUCUGAUUUUAUUCUAAGCCAUGGCAACUAAGCAGCUCUGAAAGAGGUUAACAAGUUUUAGGACCCUAAUAAGCCUAGGGUAUGUCCUUUGUUAUGUUUAAAACCUGUGAGCUUGUAGGCCCUCAGUGCAGACACUAAACUAAUACAUUCCAAUUGCAAUAAGAAACCGUGUCCUGAGUGGAAAAACAUAUUUCCAUUCUUCUGAGGAAUAGACGCUAAAUGUAUAUGUGAAGUUAAAUUAAUCCAAAAUAUCUUAAUUUAGUUAUGGCUAUAUAUGUAAACGUGUGUGUGGGGACAAUGGUCAGUCUUAGGUGUUGUUCCUUAGGAUCUAUCCACCUUGCGUUUUGAGGCAGGGUCUCUCAUUAGGACUAAGUGCUAGAUGAUUUAGGCUGGGAUGGCUGGCCAGUGAGUUCCAGGGAUCUAGCUGCCUGUUUCUACUUCCACAGCAGCAGAAUUAGAAGCCGUUGUCACCCUGCCUGGCUUUUCUCUUCUUUGUUUUACAUCACAGGUAUUGAAGAUCAAACUCAGGGACUCAUUCUUUCUCAGCAAUCACUUUAUCGACUGAGAUGUGUGCUCGGCACCUACCAUGCAAUAAUCAAAGAAAACAGCUUAUACGGCACGUCAGCCCCGCAUAUCGCAAAUAGGAAGUAUAAUUACUCGCAAUGUAAUUUUAGACUUCAUUGAAAGAUUAUAUAUUAAAAAAUGUGGACUGAGGACGGACAGUGGCUGGUUAUGUUAGAGGUCAUGGAAGCCAUGUGAUUGCUUGUUCGGAGUGAAAAACCCAGGGCACACUUUAAAGUAGACUUGGUAGAGAAAUUGGCAAAUAAGCCACAACCCCUGGUGACUGAACAGCAUGUGGAUGCUUGAGGCACUGUAUUACAGCCAGCAUUUACUGCACACGUGUGUUUUCUAGAAUACUAUCGAUAAAUAAAGACUAGGGUUGGUUAGUUCCCACUAUCAGCAAGACACCCAGAACAGCCCAAUGUAGGCUAUACAUUGAGAUGUGAAAGUGCUGUCAGGUACUGUGUCCUGGAGACCAAUGUUUUGCCUGCUGCUUUGUUAAGUGAGCUAGAGGAUGAAUUUUCCAAAAGCCCUAUGGAGGCGAGUCUACUACUAUCCCUAGAAGCAAACAAGGAUGCUAAGGAUAAUGUAAGUCAAAGGUAAGUUGCCCUGUGACACAGCUUGUCACCUAUCAAGUUAGUACUUGAAACCAGGUGAGCCACUUGCUAAAGGCCAACCCCUACCUAUACACCAUUGUCUCCUCCAUGCUUGGUGUUCAUAUUAGAGUGGACAGUGAGGAAAAAAAUCCCUGCUGAUAACUGCAGACUCGGUAAAAAACAUUCCCACCGAAUUUUGUUAAACCAAACAGAUUAGGAACUUUACAAGAAUAGUAAAAAAAUGUAGGAGAAACAUCUCUGAAAUCUAUUUUGAAAAAUAUAUAUAUAUAUAUUUUAGACUUAUAAAUAUUCUAUUAAAGCUCCAGUACUUAGCAUCAUGGUAUUGACAGGAAAGAAGCUCAAGGAUCACUGGGAAGAACACAGGCCAGAAACAGGCUGGGUACAAAGAGAUAACUGGUUUUAUGAUGAAAACCAAAGUUCACCUUGGUACAAGCAUCUCUGCAUUCAGGAGGGCAGGGGAGGGAGUUCUGAGUUUAAGUUUAUCCUUAGUUUUAUACACCCUCCCCACAGGGCAUAAGCUGAGUUUUGAAUGAUAGAGCAUUAAAUAAAUAGAGCAUGGGAAGAACCAUGUAGAAUUUUAGGAAAGAACUAAGUCCCAUCAUUAUCUUCAGUUCAUUUUUUCUUAGAAAUACGAUGUGUAAUGUUAUGACAUAAAAACCAAACUAGUAAAAGUAUUUGCAGAAAUAAGAUCAUUUAAGUUUUCAGUGACCAAGACUUUCCCAAAUUAGGCAAAGCCCAGAAAUCACGAAAAGUACUGAUAACGCCAGUACCUACAGUUUCUGUGUAGCAGAGGAUCGUCACCACAGCAGCGCAUGAGGAAGGAGAUAGAUAGACAGUGAAGUGCUGCCGGCCUCAGAAUCACGGAGAAGACCAAUAGCUGCUACAGUGGGGUUUUAAAAAGUGUGACACGAAAUGAGACAGACAUAGACACACAAAUGCCGCGUGACUGCACUCCUAUGAGAGCCCUUCAUCGGUCCAGCUAAGAACACAGAGAGGAUUGGCUGAUGCAGAGAACAGGAGGGAAGAAAGUGACUAUUUCAUGCCUCAAACUUGUGGUUCCAUUUCCGGUUCGGCUCGGGAACGGGGUGCUGGAGAGCUGUGGACACCCUAGAUGGCAGCGAGCUUUAUACGUACGGUGGUUAAGAUGGUAACUGCUGUGAUAUGUGUCUCGUCCCACGAUUAAAGAAAAAUGAGAAGAGGCAGCUUUGUGGUAGAAGUCGUUGCAUUGUCUGCUGCACACGGAGUAUUAUGAUCUGAGACAGGGCCGAGUUUCUACAGUGCAUAAAAUUAGAAAAACCCCGAGCCGGACAGAUAGCUCCGUGACUACAGGUAUCUACCUAGGUCCCACAUGGAGGAAGGAGAGCACCAAUUCCCCAAAGCUUUCCUUUCGCCUCUACCUGUCCACUGUAGCAUAAACAACCUCCCCACCCAUAAAUCAAUAAAUAAAGGUAACCAAUUUUUUAAAGACUGAGAGGAAACAGCUCAAUAUAAGACUGAGUAAAGGUGUGACCUAGUCGUCAUAGGACACAGAUGGUUCAUAAAUAUGUAGAAAUAGUAAAUUGGAAUACUAAGUAACAAAAUGUAAAAUAAAAUGCUGCCUUGUCUCAUCCAUUCCCAAGUUUGAAAACACAUCUAUUUGUGUUUGUCCUGGUAAGGAGUAUCCAAACUUCACAUGUUGACAUGUGCACUGAUCUAUGAAGCAGAGGUGUGCUGUAAGAUGCUUGCCCUCAAAACAGCUCUCCUGGGGUUCGACUCCACAGCAAUAUUCAUAGUUGAGAGCAAAGAUGAAUGCAGUAUCUUCCCUGAGGCAUUGUUGUUAAUCUUAAAUAUGUUUUCAAAGCAAAACAGCCAUCACUAAGGGAGAGGGUAAAUAAAUUUUAUCUUGCUUAAGGUUAGCAGGAAACCCUUGGCAAAAUAUCAUGCACAGGUGUGGGAAAAGCUCUCCAACCUGGGCUGUAAAGCAGGAAGCGCCACACUACAGUUAGGAAAUUUACAUAUGUAGACAUACUUGAAAAACUUGUAGAUAUGUCCUUCAAAUCAUUAUAAAUAAAAGUAUCUUAGAGUGAUAUUUAUCACGUUAUGACUUAGAAGUGAUGUUAGGGUGUCAAGUUGGUGAGUGGUCAAGUCAUGAUAGUUAAUCUGCAUUGCCAGCUUGACUGAGUUCAGAAUCACUCAGGAGACACAUCUCUGGAUGAGUCUUUCAGGGUGUCACAGCACUAUCCCUACAUAGGGCUGCAUCUCCUACGGGAUGGAAAUGGGGAGCGGGAUGGGGAGAGAGGCUGUCUGGGCAACAACAUUCACCUCCUCUCCUCCCUAAUUGCCAACACACCGUGACCAGCUGUCUCAUGGUGGACUAUAAUCUCCCAAACCAUGAGCCAAAAGCAACGUUUCUUCUCUUUUGUUGCUUUUUCUCCAUCAUUUGUCACAACAGAGAGAAAUAAUACACUCUACUACUGCCUGUCCACUUCAGACUGGUAACAGCCGUGAGGAAAGGCUCUUGCUGCAGCCACUUCUCCACUGUUAGAGUAAGGAGAGUUGUUGUUUGGGUUACUUCAAAGCAACCCAGUUCAAAGAUAAUCUAAGGUAAGCAAGACCUGGGAAGCCAGAGAAUAAAGUGUGGAGGAAGGAAGACUGUGAAGCCAGGGUCAGCUACAGGUAGGGAGGGACAAGAAAGUUUGUUUUAGGGAGGGGUCUUCUCAAGAAAGAUGAGGAAAUGCUGUGUGCUUUGGCUCCAUCUCACUGUGUGCUGUUUGUUUUGUUUUUUAUUCUCCCCUCUCUAGGAAAGGUUUCCUGUCCAGAGAAGAGGGCCAAACCUACUGUUCCCAUAAACGAGCCCGAGAGUGCACACUCUGAUUUCCUUUCAGCGUCUGUAAACAUUCAGCCCAGUUCCCACGGGGAAAACACCAACCUUGACACCGGCACAAUGGUGGACAGCCACUCUUCCAGAACUGUACCAGUGUGCCAGACUCGGUUCUUUUCCCGGGACGAAGGAAAACAAAAACAUCAACACCCACGGACUUCCUGUGCACUGGAGAUGGGGUCCCCAGGCAGGAGAGGAUGGGGUGGAGGGUGGGGUGGGGGAUAGGAACAGGUAGACUCUGGGCUGUGCAGAUGAAGAGGAGACAGGGAAAGCCAUCCACAGUGAGUGCUCUUGUGGCUUAAGUUCCUCUGGACACUUAGCACCAGGCCCAUUCUCUCACAUUCUCUCUGCCUUUGAUGAAAAACAGACAAGAGACAGAACGGGACUCAAGAGCCCCAAAGAGGCCAGUGGUGGCAUUGACCUAGCUGUACCCAGCAGUGAAAGUAGUCGACCUUCCUAGCCUGGGAACAUCUCUCACUGUGCUGAGAUAUUCCCAGGAGGUGUCAGAUGUAGGUGUGGUUGAAAAAGACCAAGGAUGAUUCUCAAACACAGGUCAACUGGGGAACUCCUGUGACUCAUCCCAGGCAAAACAGAGCAGUACAGAGACCUCAGCCCCACUCCGGAAAAAAACCUAGUAUUGGAAGAAUAGCAGAGAGGCUAUGAGACAAGGAAGUGAAGUCUCCAGUCUGUCAUCUAACUAUUUGCCAUAAAGUCGCUUAAAAUGAAGCACACAGUUCCUGGUCAAAAGUUAUAGGAAACUGUAUUGUUGUGUAAACAAGAAAACUGAAACUAAGAUGUAAAAGGUAACCUGAACCCGUUCCAAGUCUGUUUACAUCAGGGUUAGGACCUAUUGGGGAUAUCGCUGCCCCUCCAGACCUGCCCCCUCACACACACACACACACACACACACACACACACACACACAGACAC